AAUGGUGAUUUUGUAGGUAAACUAAUUUUAAGAAAAGUAGAUUAGUUACAACAAAUAUUUUAGUCUUUCACCCAUAUUCUCUUGUUUUCUGCAACUAUUCCAAGAUAGGUCCCAUACUUUCCAUUGCAAUGCACAUCAAUUUCAUUUGGAAACAUACCAUGGUCCAAUUGUUUGUUUUCUUUACCAGUUUUGCAUGGCCAUUGUGUACAACCAUGUUAUCUGUUGCUUGAUGAAACAAGAAUAUGAUGUUUAUGAUUACAGACGAGUGAGUCAUAUCUCAUGAUGAGCCAUUUCGCCUUCCUUUAUGUAGUGUAAAUUUAACCAUUGACAUAUCACUCGGAGAAACAUUUUUAGCUAGGAGAAGGAAGAGAAGAAGGGUGCUUGAAUGGUAAAAAAAUAAGUCGUCAAUGCAACCCGUUGCAACUCACAGGUGGUCUACUGAUGCAGAGGUACCUUUCCUUGCUUGGGAGAUAUGUGGUUCUGUUUGCUAAAUCUGUUUUAGGUUUAGACUGAUCUUGCAUGCUUAGCUUUUUAGUGUAUAACCAGUUUGUAGGUCCUACUAUUUGAUCACCGGAUGCAACGGAUGGGUGCCGGAUGGCGUCUUUGGCGUUUCGUUGAGGUACGACCAAACUACACUGCAGUUCGGUCUAGCCAAAGUUAUGCAUGCUGUUUAUCUCUACUUUGUGUGUGAAUGUCCCUAAAACAUGGUUUUGUUUGACUCUAGGUUCAGGACAAUAAACAUGAUAACUCAAUCACUGUUAUCAGAACAAGGUAUGCACACUGAUGGCGAUGAACCUAGUGACGGCGAGCGCGGGGGGCACGAGCACCAGGCUGAACAGCACGACGAGAGGCAUCACAGUGCGACACCGACGAGGCUAUCUACCAGGACGAGGCCGGAGAGG
rnacentral:lncRNA from 1 species